rnacentral:lncRNA from 1 species
GUAUUUUCUAUCUGAUAUCAUUUUCAAGUUAACUAUCCAUGGCGGUCACAGAGUUUAUUAAUUGAGAGAGUCUGUAUAAUAUCAAUAAUGACCGCUUGCCCGUGGAUCGAUUAGUAAAGUGAGAAUUGAAAGUAAAAACCAAAUACACUUUAUUUAUAGUAAUGAAUGUACAUACUACACAGAUAAGCGCUAAAAGUAUCCAUGUGUUAUUAAAAUUAAUAGAAACUAAAGGGGGAAUUUUUAGGGAAAAAAGGAGGAGCCGGGCUAGAAAAUUCAUUAAAUCUUUUACAAAAAAUUAUUGAUUUCAAUUAAAGAAGAUGUGGUAUGUUUGCCAAAGAGACAGCUCUCAACAAGAGACAAAAAUGACACAGAAAUUAACAACUAUAGGUCAUCGUACGGCCCUCAACAAUGAGCAAAGCCCAUACCCCAUAGUCAGCUAUAAAAGGCCCCGAAAUGACAAUGUAAAACAAUUCAAACGAGAAAACUAACGGCCUUAUCUAUAUGUACAAAAUAUGAACGAAAAACAAAUAUGCAAUUUAUAGAAAUGACUGUACAUAAUAUACAUUUAAGCGCUUAAAUUAUCAAUGUGUUAUUAAAAUUAUUAGAAAAUAAAAAGGGGGAAUUUUGGGAAAAAAGGAUUAGCCGGGCUAGAAAACAACUGUCCUGUCCCAAGGUACCUUUGACUUUUGAUACCUUUUCUGAAAUUCUCCAGUCAUUAAAUCUUUUACAAAAUUUCAUUGAUUACAAAAAAAGAAGAUGUGGUAGGAUUGCCAAAGAGACAGUUCUCCACAAGAGACAAAAAAUACACAGAAAUUAACAACUAUAGGUCACCGUACGGUCUUCAACAAUGAGCAAAGCCCAUGCCGCAUAGUCAGCUAUAAAAGGCCCUGAAAUGUGUUAUUAAAAUUAUUAGAAAAUAAAAAAAGGGGAAUUUUGGAAAAAAAUGAUGAGCAGGGCUAGAAAACAACUGUCCUGUCCCAAGGUACCUUUGACUUUUGAUACCUUUUCUGAAAUUCUCCAGUCAUUAAAUCUUUUACAAAAUUUCAUUGAUUACAAAAAAGAAGAUGUGGUAGGAUUGCCAAAGAGACAGUUUCCCACAAGAGACAAAAAUGACACAGAAAUUAACAACUAUAGGUCACCGUACGGCCUUCAACAAUGAGCAAAGCCCAUACCGCAUAGUCAGCUAUAAAAGGCCCUGAAAUUACAGUGUAAAACAAUUCAAACGAGA